rnacentral:lncRNA from 13 species
AAAGAAGGUCAACAAGAAGAACCACUGCACUCCAACACCUUCCCAGAACCAGACCCCUGCCGUCAGUGAAAAAGAUUCACAUUACUGAACGUGUCUCAACCCGUACUGCGCUUUUAUCGGCCUAAAGGUAUCUUCACGCACGACUGGAUAGGCCUUUUGGAUACGCUUGUCCAAGGUAAGGAUAUGCGUCAAGCUAUAGCCUACUUUUAAUGUUUUAGUUCCGAACUCAAAUUACUCCAGUCAAGUGAUUCAUCAUAAAAGUGAGUAGUUUUGACUGAGCAGUCCAAUGACCAAUGCUGUUUUUGGACUAUGAGACCCUCGGCUAUAUACUAUGAUGAGCCAAUAACAUGCAUAGAUUGUGCAUUAGGCAUUGCACAAGUUAGUGUCUAGGUCAGAAUAUAAAGUUGCUACUUCCGUCAACUCAAGUUACUCAAGUCAAGUGAUUAAUCGUAAGAGUUAGUUGUUUUGACUGUCAAAACAAAUAACUUUGAUGGAAUAUUACAAUGGCAAUUAUUCAUCACAAUUUCACAAUAUUACUUGUAUUUCAAUGAUUCAUCCAGGCCCAAGACAUAAAGUCUCCUGAAAGCUGUGUAGCAAUCAUUCCAUUGCUGACCCAUAGGAUGGUAAUCACAUACAUGAUUGGCUUCAUCUAGAAUCAUGGAUACCUUUCAUACCUUCUCAUCACAAGUUGGAACUAGUGGUCAACAUUGGGACAAUGCAGCCAUAAAUAACAUGGACCAAUAUUUUCAUGGAGUGAGCUUGACCUGCCAGCAGAGCUCACUGGAGCAGGGAGACAUGCCGUCAUCCUUUUGGCGCCUGACAAAGUACACUUUUUCUCUUCUAAAUAACACUACAGUAACAUCUUCUGCACAAAGUUACAUUCCUAAUUAGAUUGGUGUUAAGUGAGAACGAAUCCUAAAGAUGGUCCAAUGGGCAUGGUAUGAAGCCUCUCAUCAUCUCAGUGUGUUGAACCACCUGAUUUCUUGCAGACUUGAGAUUCAGAUCCUGCUGAAUGAUGUUAAGCAUUCGAUUAACCACAUGCAGGGGACGCUGAACACCAUGCAGGGGCAGUGUAUUGAGUUGCAGACUGCCAUGUCUAAGGUAGUGUCAGAUGAGUCUCAGAUACAGAAGAAUAAGUCUAUGAUGGUAUGGUGAUAAUGAUUGAGAUGGUGAUUAUAAUAAUGAUGACUAGCGGUACCCCACCCUAAGGGCAGUAAAUCAUUGGAUCUGAUUAAUUCAAUUCAAUGCAAUUCAAUCUUUGAGGAGUGCAACCAUAGAAAUACAAUGACUUUACACUAAUAAUAAGCUAUUGUCAACUUGCCGUCUAUGCUUAUCUUGCUCACUGUCAAUUGCUGACUGUUACCCUAUGAGUGCAACUAUUAUUGAUUUCUCACAGAAAAAUUAUUUGGUUGCAAAUGUACCUGGGGCCAUGUAAAUAAUUGUUAGGCUACUCAUUUUGAAUCCACCGGUGGCAACUUGUGUGACCAUAAAAGUCUGUGCGACUUGGCACAGUAAAAUAAUUUGGUUACUGACCUGCCCUACAUCAUAGAAGGCACUUCAAGUCGAACUAGGACAUUUUGACAUUUCUGAC